rnacentral:lncRNA from 1 species
GAGGGCGGAGGUCAUCGGGCAAGUUCAGUUCCCAAAGAGGAGGCCGUCCGAACGUGCCGAAGUCAGCCAAGAAAGAAAGAAGGAAAGAUGCGCGCAUUAUUCCAUGAUGAUGCAAACGCGGCCAAUCCACAUUCCGUUUUCUUCUUCUUUCACCUCCACGCGCGCACGGCUCUAGUUAGGCACUCAGUAGUCAGGGGUGGACGACACGAGCAAGUAUCUAUCUACCUCCGCGCCGGCGAUCGACUCGAGCGUCACGUUGGACGGUUUGCAACCCUCGGCUGUUAACUCCGCUUGAUAUUUUAUCUAAGCCCAACUUGACAUGUAGCUUGUUCACGAGUCCUAACAUCUGAUUAGGUCCUAGUAAUAGAUUAUUAACUGCGGUGUCUUGAUAUUUCGUCUCCACUACUCCCUCCGUUACGGUUUAGAAGACACAGUUAAAUUUGCGUGCGUUUCCACAAUAGACAAGGUUUAAGGCGCAUUGCAUUUAUUUCUAGUAGCUAAUUAGUACUCCAAUAUACUAUUUCUAUAUGCAUGCGUAGUGUGAAUGCCGUCUCAUAACCAAUAGAUAACCACCUAGGUUUCGGAGAAUUUCCAAGUGCGCCUUCUAAACCGUAAACAAAGAUAGUACAACAACUGCAUGUCAUCCAUCNNNNNNNNNNNNNNNNNNNNNNNNNNNNNNNNNNNNNNNNNNNNNNNNNNNNNNNNNNNNNNNNNNNNNNNNNNNNNNNNNNNNNNNNNNNNNNNNNNNNNNNNNNNNNNNNNNNNNNNNNNNNNNNNNNNNNNNNNNNNNNNNNNNNNNNNNNNNNNNNNNNNNNNNNNNNNNNNNNNNNNNNNNNNNNNNNNNNNNNNNNNNNNNNNNNNNNNNNNNNNNNNNNNNNNNNNNNNNNNNNNNNNNNNNNNNNNNNNNNNNNNNNNNNNNNNNNNNNNNNNNNNNNNNNNNNNNNNNCAAAUCUGCAGUGUGAUUGGUGGACCCUCCGUUGGUUGGUGCUACCAUCCAUCAACGCAUGAGGCCAACUCUAACGCGCGACUUCAAACGGACGUGUUGUUCGGAUUCUGUCCGUUUGGGUAGAACGAUGGGGUCAUGUCCGGGCGUGUCCUGGGAUGCGGUGGCCAUGCGCCCAGCGCGCGGACGCAUCCCGGCUGCAUCCUGUUCGCUUACAUUUUACUUUGCAAGUUCUUCAUUUUUUUUCAUCAUUCAUUUUCGAUACAUGAAAAAUACAUCAUCACAAUUUGACUAGAAAAGCAAGACCAAAGAAAACAAGAAUCACAAGAAUACAUUUUAGAAGAUGCCGAACUUCCAUAACUGCUCCCUUGAGUUGGAUUAGGCCCUUUUCGAUGCACUCAUUGUUGAUCUGUGGAGGAGGCUCGAUCUGGCAUCCUCCUUUCUUCUUCAAGCCAGAAGUCGAUGUUGCUUCCUCACACCUAGUCUCGUGUCUAGCCUCUAAUCUAGCAACAAGUGCACUUGUCUCAUCUACAUCCUCUAUGCUAGCUAAAAGUGCACGAACAUGUAUUAAAUUUUGCUCUAUCAGUAUAUCGAUGUACUCUUCUUCCCAAUACCAAAACUUGCAUCCAUGCUACACAAUAAAAUUUGAAGUUAGCACAACUAGUCAAAUCUAGAGCACAAACCAAAGCUAAAAAGACCACGUACCCCAUCGUUUAAGCACUUGAUGAACACCCAUCCAGGAUGUUCCGGCGUUGUAGACACGCGGCGCACGACCAUCCUUGGGCAGUGGUCGCACUUAAUGAGUGGCAACGGUGCGCAGAUGAGCUUUUGGGCAAGCACCGAGCCCGGCCGACCGCCAUUCGUGUAUCUGCCAGCGGACCACCGACGGUGCAGAUCCGAGCGGCUAGAGGAGGAGCCACUGCCUGCAUGUGGCCUUGCGGCCCUGCCAGGGCCUUCCGGCGAGGUGCCCGGCCAGUCCAUGCCGCGGCCCGGCCUCCCACAGCCGGGCGAGCUCAAGACCGACCGUAUCCGGCCCAAAUCCGGCCGGUGGGUGCGCAAACCAGGUGGCCGUGGUUGGGUAGCUCAGCGGCGCCGAGGGGAAGGGCCUGGGCGAGCGCGCAUCCGAACUGCACGGCUGCAAUACCGGCGGCGGCGAGGGGAAGAGUGGGGAAGACUGGAGGGGGGUGCGGCUGGAGGGAGGGAGGGAGCUGAUAGAAAAAGGCCCGCCCUAUGCCACCGACGGGCGGGCCAGGGAAGGACAUGCGCAGACGGCCCGCACGUCCGUGUGGUGUCCGUUCCACCCAAAAAGCGGCACAAACUUGGGUCAGGGAUGAGUCGAAAACGGACACAAAACGAAUAAAAAUUCGUUUGCUCCCGCGCGCCGGGCCGUUUGAUUUGUCCAUUUUACCUUAAACGGACGAGGGCGGAUAGGAUAGGGUCGCGCGGUGAAGUUGGCCUGAGAACUUGGAUUAGCUAAGCUGUCAAUGGACUAUUUAUUUAGUUUCCUCCGCUGCUCGCCAGCUGGGUGUAGCUAUCGACUCCAUCAGUGUGGUGAUGGACUCCUGCUUUGUGCUCGCACCACAUGGACCGUUGACGCAUGCAUGCGGCAUGUCUCACCCCCCACUUCUCUCCCAUUAUUUUAGGCUCAGAGUUGAUAGAGAUGCAUUGAUUAGGCGCUAGAUGAAGCAAAGAUCACGUCACAGAUUCGUGGCCUUUGGACAGGCGGCGAUCCCGACGUGCUUCACGAGGCAGAGUGCAUUGCUCUGCUAUGUGUACUUCCCCUUUUUUUCUGUCGAAGGAAUGUUUUGGCCGGUCAUAAUAGGCAAGAAUAUAAGCUAGUAACUUACACAUUUCCCUAGACUAUAUUAUUACCUUCAUAGUGGGUAGGAACAUCUAUGUAGUGUCAUGCAACGAUAUAUUUAUUAGAUUAUAGACUCAUUGUUUUUUGAAGUGUGUGAUGUUCCGGUAACUCAUUGUUUAGCACCUCUCUUCAUUAAAUAUGUAUCAUAUAAGCAAAGUUGUAUUGGAAUGUGUGAUGUUACUUCUAAGUUUUUCUCUAUUGUGACCAGCCUUAGGAUGAAAGAAUCGAAUUUGUUUUUGAACUCCACGCCCACACGCGGCGAUGCUCCUUUUCCGGCAGGUGUGCUACGCCAAAAUUUCCACGACAGUGUACCUGGCCCAGGAGGGGGCGCCGUAUUGUCAUCGACUGCCCAACACGACACAUCUGUCCCUAUCUACGCCGGUGAUCUACCGUCUCCCGCGCCAUGUUCCAACCCUCACUGCUACGUUGGUUUGUGCAUUGUUAACUGCGGGGUUACAAUAACAUCUUAUCUCCACUACAACUGCAUGCACCAUCAACUGUUAACAGCAUGUGCGGCCGUCAGUGAGCUAUCAGUCUGUGGGUGGAUGUGGGCUGCUGGUUUGUUCCAGCACCGCACGGACCGUUGACGCAUGUACAUGCAUCAUGCUAAUCCCCUGAUUUCUUUAUGCAGAUAUCGAACAGUUUGGAGUUGAGACUCUCCUACCUAUCUGAGCAGAUGGGCACAAGGCCACAGGGACGUGGAUCCUCUGACUUUGCAAUCCCUGCCAUACCCUGCCUUUGAGUCACUGACAGGUGGGCCCCAUACUUUGUGGGACCCGUGUGUCAGUGACUCAAAGGUAGGCUUGGCCACGGCAGGGGAUCCUCGUCCAGGCCACAGGGGCUGUUGUCAGCGCAAGCCAAGCUAGAAAUGAAGUAUUUUUCCAGCCGGCCGGGGACGCUGGUCGUCAUGCGUACGACGGCCUUUCCAUGCCGCGAAAAGGCCCCGGAUUGUGCUCCUGGAGCACUGUUCAUUUUUUUUUAGAUCUGUCGCCAAAUCUUGUGUGACAGUGUACCCGGCCGACCCAGGAAAGGCACCCAUGUUGGUUGAUACGCGCUUAUACAGAGAUGGUUCGGAGCUCAUCCGGAUUCUAUGCAUGCGCCCAUCGCAUGCAUUAUUCACUUGACCUGAUCGUCAGCAACACGGGCCAAAACGAGACACGUACAUGUGUUCAUCUUAUAGGAGAACGAUCGACCCACUUGCACGGUGGAUCGCCGCAACAUCGAUCGGGUAUGCGCCACUCGAUCGAUCCGGAGAACCGUGGUGUAGGAUCGCUGUCGCUACCAAGUUGCCUGAGCUACUUACACUUACUGGAGUAGAGUGUAAGUUUUAGCUUGUCUUGCACUAUACCGCUGGCUAGUGGCCAAGGGGAACCAGCUAGAAGCGUCUCAUUCCAUGGCGUAGCAUCCAAUUAGAGUAUUGGGCGCGUCUGCUGGGUGGCCGGCUGCCCAGUAAAGCGAUCCAACGGCCCGGUCAAAUAAGGUAAGUAUUUAUCUUUUUUAUUGUCAGAAAAAGAAAACAAAGAAAAUAGUCACCCGGCCUACCGUUUGGGCAGCCUUUGCAUGCAUGCGUCUAGUGUUUGCAUGCCGAUACAUUAAUGUUUCUCACGUUUGUCUCUUGUGCAUUAAUUUUUGGUUUUUCAAAAUUAUAAAAGAUAUAUCUUUUAAACCGCGUGUCGAAAUUCAGAUCCGUUUUCACCGUAGAAACCCUCGCGGCGUGCUCUUCAAAAGUAGAUCCCGCAUGGGAAUGUUUCGAUGAACUAGUCUUCCUGCCAACUAAACAUCAAUAUGUGUGCAACUAGACUACAUGAUGCGCCAACUGAGCAUAUGUGUGUGCCAGUAGUUCUUCUGUCAACUAAACAUCAAUGUGUGUACAACUAGACUACAUUUCCGCGCCAAUUGAGCAUAUGUGUGUACCAAUAGUCUUGCCAACUAAAUGUCAAUGUGUGUGCAACUAGACUACAUUGCCGUGUCAACUGAGCAUAUAUGUGUAUAACUAGUCCUGUCAACUAAAUAUCAAUGUGUGUGCAACUAGACUACAUUGCCGCGUCGAUUGCGCAUAUGUGUGUGCAACUAGUGUCCUGCCAACUAAACAUCAAUAUGUGUGCAACUAGACUAAAUUACAAGCCAACUGAGCAUAUGCAUGUGCAACUAGUCCCUCUAGCAACUAAACAUCAAUGUGUGCGCAACUAGACUACAUUAUAAGCCAAUUAAACAUUAAUGUGUGUACAAACUAGACUAAAUUACAAAACAACUGAUUUUAAAAAAAGUUGCACCAUAUAAUACUAAAGUUGCACAAUGCAGUACUUUAGUUGCACCAUAUAGCAUCAAAGUUGACAUCAGAAAAAUUUCGUCGAAACAUAUCCAUGCGAGAUCUAGUUUUAAAGAUUUCGUCGCGAUAAAUCCAACGGUGAAAACGGAACUGAAUUCCGACGUCUGGUUUAAAAGAUAUGGCUUUAAAAGAAUUUGAAAUUUUGAAAUAAAAGUACGUGGAUCUAUUUUCUCUAACUGAUGAGACUAGUAUGAACACAUUUAAUGCCAGCACCCACAUGCGCUACGAGACAAAAAAAUACACAUGCAAGUGUGUGACAGACGCGGCCGCUCGAAAACACCAAAAAUCGCACGGCCAUUUUUUAGAUUUUGGGUGGAGUGUUCAACAACAGUCACAGUCUUGCUUCUGCCCACUGCUGGGUUACGUGCUAACUAUCUCCUCUGUCGUUGUAGCAUCAAUGAUGAUCCGGCAUCACGGACACUAUUACGAAAAGCCAGGGAGAAGAACCGAUAGCACUUCACCGUAGCUGUACGUAGGCAAUGUUGGAUAGCUGGCCCUGGCCAGCCCGGCCGGACGUGUACGUAGCACGAGUCGACACGACUCGGGAAAGUAGUCCGGCCAGAUUUGCGGCCGUCUGCCGUCGCCGUCGCGCGUCAUCCGUCCCGCCUCGCCAGACCUCCACGCGCGUACGGCUCUCCUCUUCACCAUGCGAUCAACAGCAGCAGCCAGAUACAGCGACGGAGCAAAAGCUAUGGACGGAUGCAGCCGGAAGGAAAAAAAAAUGUCAAAUCAACCUUUGUCACUGACCAUAAAAUCUCUGAGCUUUUAACUUUUGCUUGACUGAUUACGCACUACUACACCACCGUGUGGUUUACCCACGGGCCACGGUUGCACUCCUCACUGUUAUAUGUUAUAUGUGCUCGAUUUUAAAACCACCACUUGAUUAUAUAUGCUAGCUCGUUCACGAGUCCUGACAUCCGAUUACGACCUAAUGCAUUGUUAACAAAUAUUCCAUCCCCACUGCAUUAGUAGCACGUCAUCGAUGAUCCAUAAUAAGAAAUCUUAAUUUGUUCUUGCCUACUACGCACCUAAUCCUCUGCAGAUCAUCCGGGCGAGUGGUCGACCCGAAAUUGUUAACAACAAAUGUAGGCAUCGGAGCGUGGUUAGGGUGGACUCCUCCGGCUCCGUUCACGCAUCGCAUGGACCGUUGAUGCAUGCAUCCGUCAUCAGUUCAGCAAGAAUUCCCCCCUUAACACUUUUAUUCAGAUUAUUUUAUCGACCUAAGAAGGUGAGAGCUGAACAAUUUAUGGCACGAUGGAAUUAAUAAGCACGCUUGCGUUCCAUAGCGAGAGCGGCGUCAUCGUCCUUCUAGUGCGUUGCGCCUUUUUGACGGAGAUCCUUGCCUCUCAAGCUAGGCUUGGAGUGAUGCAUGUGUAUGUCAAAGAUUGAUCCUUGCCGCUAGUAGGUCACUGAUCUCGCACUUGGGGGUCAUCACGAUCAUGUAUACAUCCGCUUUCCCGAGGAAGGCAGAAAUGGUCUCGAGCUUCAUCUCUUCAACCGUGUAAAAAUGCUGCAAGCUUGGGGACCGGUUUUCUUCCAUGGUGACGGGAGUUCCAAAGGCAGGCAGCGGUGCAUGCCCGCCCGAACAAGGAAGACGCGCUACACGAGACAAAGUCUGGUUCCUCAAUAGGAAGCCGCGUCCGUGCCCGUACAUGGGCUCGUACUUAUUGACUAGUGUGGCGUUAAUUCCGGACCGUACGUGGUCGACGGCUGCGGGCGCAGAACUGGACCUACCGUCUGCAUCCACCGUAGCAAAAACGAUGAUGAUGAUGACGAGGGCCGGGUGUCUUGGGAUCAAGUCGAAUCCCACAACCACCCGGAAAAAAAAAGUCGAAUCCCACAACAACGCAAUUGGCAAAAGCCAGCGACAGCAGUGCACCACACUCCAACGCCAGAUCGGUCCAUGGAUCUCCAAAGUCAGUCGGUCAAUGCUCACUCGGCCCGGCCUGCACGUGGACGUACAUCGACGAGACGACCCGGCAAAGUCGUCCGGCCACCGCUCGCGCCCACUGGCCCCGUCGCGCUCUGAGGCGUCGUGGAUCCUUCCCGGCUCCCCGCACCGCCACGCGCGCACGGCUCUGUACUGCUCCCCUCACCCACCUGCCCACCCGUCCAAUCAAGCAAACACAAGCAACCAACGCCGGAGCAGAACGCACCAAAGGUGUCAAAUCGAUCCUUAUGAUUACGUAAGUGCGGUUAUCCAACGGCCUUGAGCGCCUUGGCCUUGUGCCUGUCGUCGUGCACGUCCAGCUUGAGCACAACCUUCUGCAGCCGUCACACAAGAAAAACCAAAUCAGCAAACCGUAGGAGCAAAACGAUGCCAAGAGCCUGUUUCCUCCUGCUCUGCUUCGCCGCACAGUAGUAAUUAUGCGCUCAAUUGAAGGCCAGAAUUCUCAUCCGUAUCUCAAUUUGGGCUGCCUCAGGCAUCGACCAGCUGGGCGUGGACAUGAAGGACCAGAAGAUGACCAUCGUGGGCACCGUCGACCCCGUCGCCGUCGUCGGCAAGCUGCGCAAGCUCUUCCCCGGCGUGCAAAUCGUCUCCAUCGGCCCGGCCAAGGACGAGAAGAAGGACGACAAAAAGGACGCCGGCAGGGACAAGAAGCCCGCCGGAGACAAGAAAGAGGGCGACAAGAAGGACGGCGACAAGAAAGAUGGAGACAAGAAGGACGGCGGCGACAAGAAGCAGCAGGAGGCGAAGCCGCCCAUGUCCGUGUACCCGCACUACGCCUACGCGCACUACGGCUACCCGCCGCCGCCGCGCUACUUCGUCCGCAGCGCCGAGGAGGACCCCAAUUCGUGCGUCAUCUGCUGAUCGGCGUCGGCGCCCAUCUCUGCCCCUUGUACAUUUCCCACGUGUCCUCCUCUACUGCUGCCGGCGCUGCCAGUGGACAGUGGUUGGUAGUUGCUCUACUCAUCAGCCUACCUGCCGCAGCGAUCGACGGUGUGCGUUACAGUUACGUAGUAUAGUAUAAUACGACCGUGUAAUUACCCGUUCGUUUAUUACUGUGCAAGAUGUUGACUGCCCGAAGGAUGCAAUACUAGUAAUACUAGUAGAGUGCCCGUGCGUUGGUGCGUUGCCACGGGCUUUAAAAAGAUUGAGAACGUUCUUUUGU